GAUGAACGCUCGCUACAGGCUUAACACAUGCAAGUCGCGGGGCAGCAUGGGGGUUGCUUGCAAUCCCCGAUGGCGACCGGUGCACGGGUGAGUAACGCGUAUCCAACCUGCCCUUCACCACGGGAUAACCCGGCGAAAGUCGGACUAAUACCGUAUGUUGUCCAUUGACGGCAUCCGAUUUGGACGAAAGGUUUGGCGGUGAAGGAUGGGGAUGCGUCCGAUUAGCUGGACGGCGGGGUGACGGCCCACCGUGGCGACGAUCGGUAGGGGUUCUGAGAGGAAGGUCCCCCACACUGGAACUGAGACACGGUCCAGACUCCUACGGGAGGCAGCAGUGAGGAAUAUUGGUCAAUGGGCGUAAGCCUGAACCAGCCAAGUAGCGUGCAGGAUGACGGCCCUAUGGGCUGUAAACUGCUUUUAUGCGGGGAUAAAGUGGCCCACGUGUGGGUUUUUGCAGGUACCGCAUGAAUAAGAACCGGCUAAUUCCGUG
rnacentral:rRNA from 1 species